rnacentral:tRNA from 1 species
GGGCGGUUAGCUCAGUUGGCUAGAGCGCCUCGCUUACAACGAGGAGGUCACAGGUUCGAGUCCUGUAUCGCCCA